rnacentral:rRNA from 1 species
UACGAGAGGCCCAAACGUUAUUCGGAAUCACUGGGCUUAAAGAGUUCGUAGGCGGUCUAGAAAGUUGGGUGUGAAAGCCCUCGGCUCAACCGAGGAACUGCGCUCAAAACUACUAGACUUGAGGGAGAUAGAGGUGAGCGGAACUGAUGGUGGAGCGGUGAAAUGCGUUGAUAUCAUCAGGAACACCGGAGGCGAAGGCGGCUCACUGGGUCUCUACUGACGCUGAGGAGCGAAAGCGUGGGGAGCGAACAGG